rnacentral:rRNA from 1 species
AGAGUUUGAUCCUGGCUCAGAUUGAACGCUGGCGGAAUGCUUUACACAUGCAAGUCGAGCGGCAGCGCGGGGGCAACCCUGGCGGCGAGCGGCGAACGGGUGAGUAACACAUCGGAACGUACCCAGUCGUGGGGGAUAACACAUCGAAAGAUGUGCUAAUACCGCAUACGACCUGAGGGUGAAAGGGGGGGAUCGCAAGACCUCUCGCGAUUGGAGCGGCCGAUGUCGGAUUAGCUAGUUGGUGAGGUAAAGGCUCACCAAGGCGACGAUCCGUAGCUGGUCUGAGAGGAUGAUCAGCCACACUGGAACUGAGACACGGUCCAGACUCCUACGGGAGGCAGCAGUGGGGAAUUUUGGACAAUGGGGGCAACCCUGAUCCAGCCAUUCCGCGUGAGUGAAGAAGGCCUUCGGGUU